UACAUAGGGGGCAAGCGUUGUCCGGAAUUACUGGGUGUAAAGGGUGCGUAGGCGGUUAGGAAAGUCAGAUGUGAAACCCCAUGGCUCAACCAUGGGCAUGCAUUUGAAACUUCUUGACUAGAGUACAGGAGAGGUAAGUGGAAUUUCUAGUGUAGCGGUAAAAUGCGUAGAUAUUAGGAAGAACACCAGUGGCGAAGGCGACUUACUGGACUGAAACUGACGCUGAGGCACGAAAGCGUGGGGAGCGAACAGG
rnacentral:rRNA from 1 species